rnacentral:rRNA from 1 species
UACGGAGGAGGCAAGCGUUAUCCGGAAUUAUUGGGCGUAAAGAGUCCGUAGGUGGGUAACCAAGUCAGUUGUUAAAUAGUGAAGCUUAACUUCAUAGAGGCGACUGAAACUGGUUGUCUAGAGAGUGGUAGGGGUAGAGGGAAUUUCCAGUGUAGCGGUGAAAUGCGUAGAUAUUGGAAAGAACACCGGUGGCGAAAGCGCUCUACUGGGCCAUUACUGACACUGAGGGACGAAAGCUAGGGGAGCGAAAGGG